rnacentral:rRNA from 1 species
UACAGAGGGUGCGAGCGUUGUCCGGAAUCACUGGGCGUAAAGGGCGCGUAGGUGGCGCGACAAGUCAGUGGUGAAAGCUCGGCGCUUAAUGCCGAGUCGGCCACUGAUACUGUUGGGCUUGAGCACUGUAGAGGCUAAUGGAAUUCCGGGUGUAGCGGUGGAAUGCGUAGAGAUCCGGAAGAACACCGGUGGCGAAGGCGGUUAGCUGGGCAGUUGCUGACACUGAGGCGCGACAGCGUGGGGAGCAAACAGG